GUGAAAUUGUUGAAAGGGAAGCGCUUGCAACCAGACCUGCCUGCAGUUGCUCAUCCGUGGCUUUUGCCCGGUGCACUCUUCUGCUGUCAGGCCAGCAUCAGUUCGGGCGGUCGGAUAAAGGCUUCGGGAAUGUAGCUCCUCUCGGGGAGUGUUAUAGCCCGUUGCGAAAUGCGGCCAGCCUGGACUGAGGUCCGCGCUUCGGCUAGGAUGCUGGCGUAAUGGUUGUAAGCGGCCCGUCUUGAAACACGGACCAAGGAGUCUAACAUCUGUGCGAGUGUUUGGGUGUUAAACCCGUACGCGUAAUGAAAGUGAACGGAGGCGGGAACCCCUCGGGGUGCACCGUCGACCGAUCCUGAUGUCUUCGGAUGGAUUUGAGUAAGAGCAUAGCUGUUGGGACCCGAAAGAUGGCGAACUAUGCCUGAAUAGGGUGAAGCCAGAGGAAACUCUGGUGGAGGCUCGCAGCGGUUCUGACGUGCAAAUCGAUCGUCAAAUUUGGGCAUAGGGGCGAAAGACUAAUCGAACUAUCUAGUAGCUGGUUCCUGCCGAAGUUUCCCUCAGGAUAGCAGUAACGUUUUCAGUUUUAUGAGGUAAAGCGAAUGAUUAGAGGCCUGGGGGUUGAAACAACCUUCACCUAUUCUCAAACUUUAAAUAUGUAAGAAGUCCUUGUUGCUCAGUUGAACGUGGACAUUUGAAUGUAUCGUUACUAGUGGGCCAUUUUUGGUAAGCAGAACUGGCGAUGCGGGAUGAACCGAACGCGGAGUUAAGGUGGCCGAAUGCACG
rnacentral:rRNA from 1 species